GGAAUAUUGGACAAUGGGCGAAACCCUGACCGAGCGACGCCGCGUGGAGGAUGAAGGCCUUUGGGUCGUAAACUCCUUUCGUGGGGAAAGAAUGUGUCCGGGGUGAACAAUCCCGGGCAUUGACGGUACCCCAAGAAGAAGCCCCGGCUAACUCCGUGCCAGCAGCCGCGGUCAUACGGGGGGAGCAAGCGUUGUGCGGAAUCACUGGGCGUAAAGGGCGCGUAGGCGGCUUCUCACGCGUGCGGUGAAAGCUCGGGGCUUAACUCCGAGUCUGCCGUGCGAACGGGGAGGCUUGAGUCUGGUAGAGGUCGAUGGAAUUCCGGGUGUAGCGGUGGAAUGCGUAGAGAUCCGGAAGAACACCGGUGGCGAAGGCGGUCGACUGGGCCAGUACUGACGCUGGGGCGCGACAGCGUGGGGAGCAAAC
rnacentral:rRNA from 1 species